CCUACGGGCGGCAGCAGUAGGGAAUAUUGCUCAAUGGGGGGAACCCUGAUGCAGCGACGCCGCGUGGAGGAUGAAGGUUUUCGGAUUGUAAAGUCCUAUUAGUAGAGAAGAAAAUGACGGUAUCUGACGAAUAAGCACCGGCUAACUCCGUGCCAGCAGCCGCGGUAAUACGGAGGGUGCAAGCGUUAUUCGGAUUCACUGGGGGUAAAGGGCGCGUAGGCGGGGUAGCAAGUCAGAUGUGAAAUCCCGGGGCUUAACCCUAGAACUGCAUUUGAAACUGUCAUGCUAGAGUAUGGGAGAGGUAGGUGGAAUUCUUGGUGUAGCGGUGAAAUGCGUAGAGAUCAAGAGGAACACUCAUGGCGAAGGCGACCUGCUAGAACAUAACUGACGUUGAGGCGCGAAAGCGUGGGGAGCAAACAGGAUUAGAUACCCGUGUAGUC
rnacentral:rRNA from 1 species